AUUGAACGCUGGCGGCAGGCUUAACACAUGCAAGUCGAGCGGGGACUUCGGUCCUAGCGGCGAACGGGUGAGGAAUGCUUGGGAAUCUGCCCAGUAGCGGGGGAUAACGUUUCGAAAGGAACGCUAAUACCGCAUACGCCCUACGGGGGAAAGGGGGGGAUCUUCGGACCUCUCACUAUUGGAUGAGCCCAAGUCGGAUUAUCUAGUUGGUGGGGUAAAGGCCUACCAAGGCGACGAUCCGUAGCUGGUCUGAGAGGAUGAUCAGCCACACUGGAACUGAGACACGGUCCAGACUCCUACGGGAGGCAGCAGUGGGGAAUAUUGGACAAUGGGCGAAAGCCUGAUCCAGCCAUGCCGCGUGUGUGAAGAAGGCCUUCGGGUUGUAAAGCACUUUAAGCGAGGAGGAAUGGCUCAUGGUUAAUAACCUUGAGCAGUGACGUUACUCGCAGAAUAAGCACCGGCUAACUCUGUGCCAGCCGCCGCCGUAAUAC
rnacentral:rRNA from 1 species